rnacentral:lncRNA from 1 species
GAUGAUACGAGACUAGAUGUGUUCAGUAGGGCAAUGGGCAUUUUUAAAAGGAAAUAUCAAUGGACUGAGUUUUAGUGCAUCCCAAAUUUCAAAGGCUGGAGAGUUGAGAAAGAUCAAACAAAGAAAUCUGAGCAGAAUCUCAUGAGAAGAAUCAAGAAAAUGGCAUCCUGGAAAUAAACUGGACAAUGUGUUUCAAGAAGGAAAGGGAUCAGCUAAUUUAAGCACCACAGAGGUCAAGGAAAAAUUGGAAAGCCAGUGAUAUGCGAGAAAAUAAGCGCCAAUGCUAGAAUGAUACAACUGGGAUCUAGUGAAGAGAUGCCCUCCUUGGACAGAAGCAUGGAAAAAAUCUUCAGCAGUACUGAGAACAAAAAUGCACAGAAAAAUUUCUCCACAGUGGUAGGAAGGAUGAUCAAGAGUCGGGAGAGAUACAGAAAAUAGAUGAACCCACGGGCAGGGUCGAGCAACUCUGGAUGGGAGGAAUGAACAACUCUGGACACCACCUUUAUGAACUGUAACACUGUAACACUCACCUGGAAGGUCUGCAGUUUCAGUCCUGAGGCCAGCGAGACCAGGAACCCACCGGAAGGAACGAACAACUCCAGAUGUGCCGCCUUUAAGAGCUGUAACACUCACCGUUAAGGCCUGCAGCUUCACUCCUGAAGUCAGCGAGACCAUGAGCCCACCAGAAAGAAGAAACCCCGGACACAUCUGAAAAUAUGAAGGAACAGACUCCAGACACACCAUCUUUAAGAACUGUAACACUCACCGCGAAGGUCCGCGGCAUCAUUCUUGAAGUCAGCAAGACCAAGAACCCACCAAUUCCGGACACAAUCACAAAAUUAAACCUCCUCAAAUAGAGAUUGACAGUAAAUGUAAUCUGUAUUUCUGUUCAUGCCAUCAUUGGUAGUGAAUUAUUUAAAUAUAUAAAACAUUCUCAAAUAACUCAUAACAGGACAAUUACCUAUCUAAUUUUUGCUCUUUAUAAAAUGAAAUGUAAUCUCCGUCUAAUAAUUUAAAUUGUUUUUACAAUCUGGUCUAACAGGAAUGUUUCUUAUUCUUCCAUAUGUUCUUAACAGACUUACUUUGUUUUUACUUUUUGUCAUCUUUAUAAAAUCACAAAUCUCUACAUUAUGUAUUUAUGCAAAACAUACACUUCUCUUGGAUUGUCAAAACGAACUCUCUCCCUUAAAAACAUUGUAAUAUUUAGCUUUAAUAGCCUGUCCCCAGAGUGAAAGAAAACCUUAUUAUUUCUUACUAUAAAAGCAAGAAUGUGUCUAUGCCUAAUUUCUUUAAUAACUGGGGCCAGUUCUCACUGUCUUUAUAUGAACCAAGGUCAAGGGUUCAUGAGGUUUAAUAGCACCUAACAUUCUCUCCUAGGGAAUAAAACUGUGAAAAGGUAUCCUGAGUGGAAAAUCCACUUUACGAUUACUUUCAAGGUAGUUUUGAUAGUAUAUUAUCCUUUUCCCAUCAAUCAGGGAUAAUAUAGAUGUUUAUAUUGAUUUUACUUACACUGAAUUACUCUCAGAAAUUCUACUUCAUAAAAGAAUGUCAUAAUUCAUUUUGUUUUGCUUUUGAAAGCUCACAUGUACAUUCCAAAGCAUACCUAUUAUCCAAGGCAGCCACUGAAAGACUUGGGGAAUCAAGUAAUAAAUUGGAAAUAAUAUUUAAAUUAUUUGUUAAUUGAGCAUUAGGUUUCUCUCAAACUUUCUCAUAAUGGUAUAUGAAUUAACUCAAAUUAAAUAUUUCAAACUUGUAGUAGUUACCAAUAGUCUGAAAACCAGUCUUCUGAUCGUCUUGAUCAGCAUAAGAAAAUUGAAAGAGACCAAAAAAAACCAUGUAUAUUAUAUAGAUAGAUAGAUAGACUUAGAGCUAGAGUGAGUCAACUAACAAUUGUAUUUUGCUGCAUUAGCAAAAUAUAUUGCCCGGGAUGCUACUACCGCAUGAGGGUAAUUAAUUGUCUACUUUGUAUUUUGACUAGGAAGAGUUUCUGAAAUUUUUGCCUGCUAUUUCCAAAUAUCUAUUUUAGACAGAGUUCUCCAGAGAAACAGAAUCAAUAACUAUAUAAAAAUAUAUAGAAAGAUAAUUAUUAUGAGGGAUUUGGUCAUGUGAUUUUGGAGGCUGAGAAAUCCCGUCAACUGCUGUUUGCAAGCCAGAGGCCCAGGAAGGCAAGUAGUGUAGUGCCAGUCCAAACCUCAAGGUCUGAGAACCAGGGGAAUCAAUGGCAGAAAUUCCAUUUUGAGUCCAAAGUCCAGAGAACCAAAUAACUGAUGUCCAAAGAAAGAAAAAGAUGAUGUCCCAACUCAAGCAGAGACAGCCAGUUCUCCCUUCCUCUGCUUUUUUGUUCUGUUUGGGUCCUCAAUGCAUUGGAUGAGCUCCACCCACAUUGGUGAGGGCAAUCUUUACUCAGUCUAUCAAAAUGACACCUUCACAGACGCAUCCAGAAAUAAUGUUUUAUCCGCUAUUUGGUCAUUCCUUAGCCCAGCCAAGCUGACCUUAGAAAAAUUAACCACUACAUUUUCUAUGCAUGUGCACACUUCAAAGGCACUUCAAGUCCUGGAGGAAUGAAUUGUCUUUUCUGUAAUAACAUCAGAUUAAUUCAAUAGGGAAUCUCUCUUUUACUACUAAUAUGUUUAGUUUGAAGCCCUGGUUAACCUCCACACAAUUUUAGGAGUAGAAUUAACAAAUAAUACAGUGAGGAUGCAGAAAUGGCCAGAGGGAAGUUGUUUGAUGGAGUUCUAGAUCCACCUUUUCCACAACCACCCCAAUUAUGGGCUUAGUACUUAAAGAAGAUUGCAAAUAGGGGAAAAACAUUUUCCUCUAUUCUUCCCAAAGGCUUUUGAGUAUGAGAAUUAGUGGAUUUCAAUAGCACGUUAAUAGCCAUACAUCUCUUCCACCAACCCACACUUCCUCCACCACUUCUCAUAUGGGAUUCCUUUCACUGACCUGUACCUAGAUUCUUUCUGCCUAUGUGGCUCUCAGGAAGCUUCAGGAUUUUUAACAGUUUAUGUAUCAGGACAUUGUGCUGGGCUGCUCUUGGCGAUCUUUCAAGUUAGACAAACUCCAAACAAAAUUUUAUAAAUCUUAUUUUUCAAUGAUUUCAGACUCCUCGUUUUGAAGUGGUAACUUUACAAUAAUAAUAUUUAUGUUAUUAUAAUAUAUAUCACACAUAAUACAUAACAUUUAAAAAAAUAAUUGUUGCCAUUUAUUGAAUCUAUAUGUAUAGGAGUAGGUGUGGUGUGUGUAUAAACACAUCAGUAUAUAUUAAUAUAUACCAGGUACUAUUAAACAUAGUAUAAGCAUGCUUUUAUUAAUACUCAGAGCAGCUGGGCGUGGUGGC